AGAGUUUGAUCCUGGCUCAGGAUGAACGCUAGCGGCAGGCCUAAUACAUGCAAGUCGAACGGUAAAUAUCCCAGCGAUGGGUUAUGAGAGUGGCGCACGGGUGCGUAACGCGUAUGCAACCUGUCCGGUCCAGGGGGUCAGCCCGGAGAAAUCCGGAUUAAUACCCCGUACACUCUAUGGCGGGCAUCCGCUGUUGAGGAAAGGCGCGAGCCGGGGUCGGAGGGGCAUGCGUGCCAUUAGCUUGUUGGCGGGGUGACGGCCCACCAAGGCAGCGAUGGCUAGGGGAUCUGAGAGGACGGUCCCCCACACUGGUACUGAGACACGGACCAGACUCCUACGGGAGGCAGCAGUAGGGAAUAUUGGUCAAUGGGGGGAACCCUGAACCAGCCAUGCCGCGUGAGGGAUUGAGGCCCUACGGGUCGUAAACCUCUUUUGCCGGGGGCUAAGGGGCGCCGUGCGCGGCGUUGUGAAUGUACCCGGCGAAUAAGCAUCGGCUAACUCCGUGCCAGCAGCCGCGGUAAUACGGAGGAUGCGAGCGUUAUCCGGAUUUAUUGGGUUUAAAGGGUGCGCAGGCGGGCCGGUAAGUCAGCGGUGAAAUGUCGGGGCUCAACCCCGGCAGUGCCGUUGAUACUGUUGGUCUUGAGUGCGGUGAAGGCAGGCGGAAUGCAGUGUGUAGCGGUGAAAUGCGUAGAUAUGCUGCCAGAACUCCGAUAGCGAAGGCAGCUUGCCGUACCUGCACUGACGCUCAUGCACGAAAGCGUGGGGAUCAAACAGGAUUAGAUACCCUGGUAGUCCACGCUGUAAACGAUGGACACUCGUUGUCGGCGACAGACAGUCGGCGGCCGAGCGAAAGUGUUAAGUGUCCCACCUGGGGAGUACGGUCGCAAGGCUGAAACUCAAAGGAAUUGACGG
rnacentral:rRNA from 1 species